GUUUCAUGGUGCCUUUGCAUCCAGCUGUUGGCACGCUCAGGCAGAUUCCCUGCUUUGGGAUCCAUCCACUUGAAGACUUCACUGUAUGGUUUUGUCUGCUCUUCUGAGCACUUGGAUUUUUUGGAGGGCAAGGUGGCAGCCCCAGAAACAAGGGGGAAGGGCCAGCCCUUCCAACCACAGCACGCCAGCCUCAAUCAAGCCCCGCUGGCAGCUGCAAGCUGUGACAGACUGUAAAUCUGAGGGCUGGAGCAGGAGAACAGCUGGGUGGCCAUCAGAGAGGGCUGGGAGGGGAACAAUGGUGGGGGGAGAAGCUGGGAGCCAUCAGGGGCACUGCCUGGCGUUGGAUCAGUCCUAGGAACUGGCAGUGUUCAGCGGAUGCUUAUCCGCUCUGCUGGCAGUCCCCAGCCACCAGCUUCCUUUGACAGCUGAAGGGGGAAAAAGGUUACUUGAUCCCAGACCUGAAGGAGCUGAUGUGAAACACAACUUUAGUUUGUUUCUGAACCGCUUUAAAAUCCAAAGGGGCGAAAUAGGAGAGGGAAACGUAAUUAAAUACACAUAAAAUAUUCACUCUACACAAUGUACACUUAAUUAAUUCCUGUCCCCUUUACAAACAGAUUAUCUUUUGAUUUUCUGCUUUCCUAAGGUUGCCAUUUCAAAUGACUUGGAGAAGGGAUUUUAGCCUCCCAAUAUCACACCAGGACACGUGUUAUCAUCACAUACGUGUGGCUCCUUCUGCUGGAAGCUCCCCCAGCCUGCCAGGUAGCUGUGCAUCCCCUCAUACGGAUGAACCUGAGAGCCUCAGCUUUUGCUGCAGAUCUGUGUCUGGGAACUGAAUCCCAAUCCAAAGACCCCGAAUGCCUUAGCUGUAAAAGUCUCGCUGUGAAAUCCUUUGUUUGAGCUGCCUCUUCAGUCGUGUGGUGCUGCUUCUGGAUUCGAUGGACCACCCUAGAGCACAUUUCCUCCUCAACCCCAAAGUGAAUGCAUCAUUUAAUUACUGUCAGUGCACAAACCCUAUUCACUUGCUUGCCAGGGUCGCAAACCUUCCAACAGAAAUGCUCAUAAUUUGCAGAGAACACAAUGCCUGGUUGAAAUUGAAUUCACAGUCGGGAAAAAAAACAGUCUUCUGAUGAUUGACCAUUUGUAUCACAGCUGUCUUAAGGGUGAGGGAGAUGAGAGACCAGCCAUGCUGCACACUUGGAAUAGGAAACCGUCCCUGGCUCAAAGCUCUAUUGUUUGGGCAGGGUCCCACCAGAGGAAGCCCUCUGCACGCCCUGCCUGUAUGAUGUGAACGGAGGCAUAAAGAAAGUGACUUUUCCAGCACUGUGCUUCAAAUCCAGAUGAUUCAAAUGCAAAACUGAAAACCCCUGAGCCUCACCCCAGUGCCUGACCUGCAGGACGGCCUGCCUCUCUGAUUUUCCCAAACGUUUAGGCUGGAUAAAGCAUACAGUGUAAGCCAAGAGUCCAAGGAAACCUCUCUUGCACAGGCCACGUUCUGUAGAUCCAGACACCGGAGUAAUGAGAACAUGCAGAAAUGUCUUCUACCACCAGAGCAUGCAUCUUCGUCCUUGGUCCUAAAUGCUCUGAUUGACUUUUAAUUAGCAGCAUGUGUCCCAUGAGACUGGCAAGAUGUCUCUAAAUUCACCUCUAUCUUAAUUGCAUCAGGAAGCUGCCUUCUGGGGCUGCUCAGCUCCCAGUCCCUGGCACACGUCGUACUAAUGGAGCGAAGCUGCAGCUGGCAGCCCUUCCUGGGUGCUUGCUGGGCAUUUAAUCUCACCAGCCUCCACAGAGCAAGUGCUUCACGCGGGAGUGCAGAACCAUUCAGAAGUUGUGAUGUCAGAAGAUGAGCUGUCCCACUGAGCCAGAUCAGAACCGGGGAGACAACGUGAUGCAAGAGGGGUUCAUCUACACAGAGCAGUGGGAAAGAGCGGGGGAAAGAAUGGGAAGUUUGCAUAAGGAGCACCCACAGGGUGAAGCUCAGGUUGGCUUUGCCAUAGGAAAAUCGCACUCUAUGAUUUCAAAUUAUUUUGAUUCCAGUUCAGAUUCUGUGUGGGUGGAGGUGUAUGUAAAUAGGAAUGCGAGCAUGUGUACGCACAGAGCAAAGCCAGCCAGAAACCUCCACAACCAGUUUGCUUCCACCACACGUGCUCCUGGCUCUGGAGAUAGACACAACCCUGGCAAUGAGCAGCCACGCUUUGCCAGUGCACCCCAUCCUGCCAUCCCUCACGCCAGCUGGGGAUGUGACACACAGAGCUGUGGGGCCAGAGCACAUCCCUUCCCCACUCACCCCUCUCUCCAGGUUGGAGAACAGGCUCCCAGUGCAUGGCUGCCUGUUCAUCACGCCGUAACCCUACCACUGUGGGGAUCGUGCAGAGGGGCUGUGCUGGGAGAGGCUGAGCUGGAACCAGCAGUGGAGCUGAGCCAACCCCUGGCCUUACCUUCCUGACGAUUACUUAUUCUAUCUCCUCCUGGGGGGCAGGUUCCACCCACGACUUGCCUUCCCUCCCACUAAAGGUUUGAUUCCCACCACAAAAGCGCAGCCCCUCAGAGCAGGCUGCUUUCUUAAGCCACCCUUUUGUUUUCGUUCGUGUGUUUUUCAGGGUGGCUGUAGGGUUCCCUCUUGAGAUUUGGGAGCUCAGCGCUCUCCUAAUGGCAAACUGUGUCUCCCAGGCCCCAUUCCCAGCCCACCUAAGUGCGUAGGUCUCUACUAGUUCUGUUUUAGCUGCUCAGAGGCUGACAGAACACGAUGAAACAGGACAGAGCUUGAUAGAGAAUAUAUUUCUCCAGAGGAGAGAGGGAACCGCAGACGCCUGCCCUUCUAUUCCUGUUUACCUUUGCUUUCAGGAGGUCAAUUGAAUUGUGGGCAUAAACUUACACUGCGGUUUGCAAACUGAUACUCUCCAGAAGUGCGUUCUGGCGUCACAGAACAUUUUGUGUUUCGGUUUCUUCUUUCCUUGCUCUUUUAUGGCCGCAUAAUAACUUGCAACAUAUGUAUCUCAGAAACACUUGUUUACACAACAUUUUCAAAGCAUCACAAUUAACAUCACUUUGUGGAAUUCCCGUGGAGGCAUCCCUCGCGCGGUAAUGACCGGCAACUUCUUUCAAACUUGGGCUUCUUCAGCUCCUUCUGUAUGCUCCGUCUGCAGGACUCCUCCAGAAGCACAGAACAGUGUUUAGUCUUCCGCUGCGUGAGUGCUGAGAAGCGUGAGUGGAAGGCAGGGGCCGGAUUUUGUGCGGCACACCUUCAUGAGGCCCCUCUAUCCAUUUGGUAGCGCUAUUCCUUUCACGUUGCGCGUGGCCGCCCCAUGACCACCCUGCGGAGCUCAGUGUGGGAAGAACAUACCCACAUGGCUCCAACAAGGCUCUAGGAGAGCUUCUGGAGAAGGCUCUCACUGCUAAACACAAUGGUCCAGCCAAAACUCCGUCUUCGGACACAUCUGAGGCUAGGGGCCCAUAGUGGGGAAAGAUCAUUCUGCAAAGGUCCGACUUUUAUGCUGUACCCCUGAACUCAACGCUUGUAGUUGUUGUCAAAGUCAGGAGAAUGAACAAGGUGGACUUUUGAUCUGACCUAAUGUAGCACUUGGUUUAAAUUUACAUUGGCUCAGCAUCAAGCCUAGUUUCUGACAUAGCGUGUUAUGCAAUCCAUGUGCUCAUUCCUCAUGUUGUCCCCACCAUCCCACAGAGGUUAGCGAGUUUGCAUCCCAGGGAAAGAGAGAGUGCUUCUGCCUGCAGUCACGUUUGCCCUGCCAGGCCUUGCCCAAGCCUGCUCCGGAGCUUUUGCUCACAGAACCGCUUACACAAAUUUCCAAGAAAGUGCUUAAAUUCCACUGACCUUAACAAAUAUCCUGGAGUGAGGUUUUACCAGCUCUACCCAAGCAGUAUGAUGGCUCUCCUCAUUUUCUCAUUUAUCUUCUGUUUUUUUUUUCUUUUAUCUACAAUCAGAUGGGCAGCAGGAUCUAACACAACUGCUUUAGGCUCUCCCAUCCUACCAGGAAAAAACCCAGAGGCUCAGUGCUGGUGCAGAGCAGAGGAGCUGCUACCUUAGGGCCACAGCUCAGAAGGAGAUCUCUCUGCCACAGGCUGGCCUAGGAGACUUACCAGGCUCGGAGAAGUGACUGAAGCUUUACAGGAGAUCAUGCCGGUGUUCCUCUUCCAACAGAAACACCCCCAUGUCUACUUUGAAACUGGAAUUGAACAAAUCUUCCUUUAAGCUGUUUUACAUUUUGUCCAUCUUGGGCACCAGCAGGGAACCCAUCUGUGCUGAUGAGGUGCUGCUCCAAUGACCAGAGCUGCAGCAGCAUCCAAAGGAAGGAGCCCAGAGAUAGUCUGCAGCCCCUCCCAAGCGCC
rnacentral:lncRNA from 1 species